rnacentral:rRNA from 1 species
UACGGGGGGGGCAAGCGUUGUUCGGAAUUACUGGGCGUAAAGGGCUCGUAGGUGGCCAACUAAGUCAUCCGUGAAAUCCCUCAGCUUAACUGGGGAACUGCGUCUGAUACUGGAUGGCUUGAGUUUGGGAGAGGGAUGCGGAAUUCCAGGUGUAGCGGUGAAAUGCGUAGAUAUCUGGAGGAACACCGGUGGCGAAGGCGGCAUCCUGGACCAAUACUGACACUGAGGAGCGAAAGCCAGGGGAGCAAACGGG